rnacentral:rRNA from 1 species
ACAACUCCUGCCGAUGGAUAUCUUGGCUCUCGCAACGAUGAAGAACGCAGCG